UACGUAGGGGCCAAGCGUUGUCCGGAUUUAUUGGGCGUAAAGAGCUCGUAGGCGGUUCGGCAAGUCAGCUGUGAAAUCUCCACGCUCAACGUGGAGGGGUCAGCUGAUACUGCUGUGACUUGAGUCCGGUAGGGGAGUGUGGAAUUCCCGGUGUAGCGGUGAAAUGCGCAGAGAUCAGGAGGAACACCCGUAGCGAAGGCGGCACUCUGGGCCGAUACUGACACUGAGGAGCGAAAGCGUGGGGAGCGAACAGG
rnacentral:rRNA from 1 species